GACAAUCUUGGGUCAAGGUCUUUUCUUCAUUCCAGCUCCAUUUGGGUGGUCAUCUACGGAGGGAAACCGAUCAUGGAAAUGGAUGGAGGGCCCUGAGGAAAUUUCAUAUCUGAUGUGCCAUUCAUCAGUCCAGUGCAGAAGUCAUAAAUUAUGCUUCCUAUUACCGGAUCGGUGUAUCCCAGUUACAAUCCCCCCUUUUUUUCCUCCCUUCUCUCUGUUCCUGCUAUCAAGUUUAUCAGUAAAAAAACUUGAAACUGUGCAAA
ensembl:lncRNA